AGUGAACGCUGGCGGUAGGCCUAACACAUGCAAGUCGAACGGCAGCACAGUAAGAGCUUGCUCUUACGGGUGGCGAGUGGCGGACGGGUGAGGAAUACAUCGGAAUCUACUUUUUCGUGGGGGAUAACGUAGGGAAACUUACGCUAAUACCGCAUACGACCUACGGGUGAAAGCAGGGGAUCUUCGGACCUUGCGCGACUGAAUGAGCCGAUGUCGGAUUAGCUAGUUGGCGGGGUAAAGGCCCACCAAGGCGACGAUCCGUAGCUGGACUGAGAGGAUGAUCAGCCACACUGGAACUGAGACACGGUCCAGACUCCUACGGGAGGCAGCAGUGGGGAAUAUUCGACAAUGGGCGCAAGCCUGAUCCAGCCAUACCGCGUGGGUGAAGAAGGCCUUCGGGUUGUAAAGCCCUUUUGUUGGGAAAGAAAAGCAGCAGGUUAAUACCCCGCUGUUCUGACGGUACCCAAAGAAUAAGCACCGGCUAACUUCGUG
rnacentral:rRNA from 1 species